ACGGAAUUGCAUUUCCGUGCACGGUUCCAGGCUGGACGAUCGCGAGAUGAAGCAAGUGUCAGCGUUCACCACCGUUGGAUAGUGGAAUCGGUAGAAAAUUACAACGAUCGUCCUCAAUGAUGAAUCCGUCUUGUCUUUUAUAUAUGGUGUGUAUUUCCACUAUUGCAAGAGCCACGGUUCAUUUACCACUCCAGUCUUUCCUCUUUAAGGAAAAGUUCACGGCAGAUUAUCAGCAAUAACGAAUGCGAAUCGUUUGCGUAGGAAUUCUGAGAAAUUGAAAAGGCAUGAAUGGUAAUCGAUAAUUUUCCGAUGACUUUUUAACGUUUCUCUUUGCGACAUUCACGUAUAAGGCAUAGGGUAUUAGCAUGUCGUUUUAUCUUCUAAUUGUUUCGAUAUAGUUGCAAAUUAAAAAUCGGCAAGUAAGAGGAAGUGUUGACAAGUUCAAUGAAAAUUGAUAAGAGUAACAAAUAAGAAUUUUAAUUAAUAGUCCUAUUCGAAUUCUUUAGAAUAUGUAAAAAUCUUUCUGCAAUCUGACCAAACCGGUUUAGGGAACGACUUUAUGAACAUUCAUAUAAAUCAUAACUAAUCGAGAACGAGAAAAUAUAUUUUUAGCAACUUUAAUUUGUCCUUGAUCUUAAUAAUUAAUUUCUGUCGUGCUUAGAGAAUUGAAUCAGGUUCUUUGAUUUUUAAUCUAAGCAGACGUAUUUAAAUUUAUAUUGGAUCAAACGCGCAGAGCAAUAUUUAAGCGAGAGAUGAGAGAUGAAAGAAAAGAAAGAACAUCUUCUAAUAGUCUGCAUUUGAUCAAAAUGUCCAUAUAUUCGUCAUUGAUAUUUUUCCGAAGAUAAAUCAUUGUUUGCUUCGUUAGGUAUGUAAAUCUCCGCGUUAAGUGGCACAGCAUGAGUUUUCCGGAUUGCUUUACACAAGAAGAAUUGUGUGAACGCAAUUAUCUUAUUUCAACAUCUCUUGUUUUUUCGCGACUUUGUUGAUCACGUUACCGCUUUAUUCUUCCGUACAUCAAUGUCUCGUUGAUGAUUUUUUUCGGUAUGUGUGGAAUGAAAAAUGAAUACAUCAAAUAUUAUGCAAUCUUUUUCUUACAGAUUCGUACAAGAUUAUUGAUUGGUAAUUACAUAGAAAUCUGAAAAUAUAUACGAACAUCCAUCUCGUAUAAUUUAAGACGAGAUCUUCUUUUAUCGAAAGACUCACCUUUCAAAGUGUCAGCUACUAUUUACUGUCACCUUUAAGCACCCUUUCCGCGUACUUUUGCAGGAGGCCACAUAUCCUGCUGGUAUAAUUAUCUUAUCUGGCUACAUUAUCCGCAAAGAAACCUCGCGUGAAUUAUGAGGAUAUCGUCGAUGAUAAUCAUUCGUGUUGCAUGUACAUAAAAUGCGCAGAUGAUGCUCGACCCGAUGGUUCGCACCUUCGACACGCAAUGAUCAUGUGGUCCAUCGCGAGAUAUACACAAGAUCAUUGUCUUUGCUGCCGUCGUUGCUGUUGCCCUCGCAAGAUCCCCGCCUGUUUUUAAUACGGAGUUUGACAACAGCCAGACGGUGGUUGUAAAGGAGACGCCUUUGGACAAUAUCGGCAUUGACGGAUAUCAAUUUGGUUAUGAACUCUCCAACGGCCAGGCCCAUCAGGAAUCUGCCCAGCUGGUGAACGCUGGACAGGAGAAUGAGAGUAUUGCCGUCCGUGGUAGCUUCACCUACGUCGAUCCGGUCACCAACGUUAGAUACACCGUCAACUACAUCGCCGAUGAGAACGGAUUCCAGCCCCAGGGCGAGCAUCUGCCGUCUGUCUAAAUCUUAGCGAGAACCCUUGCAAAUAUUAUGAUCGAAUUCUUUCACAGUUUAAUCUCGUCUCUAUGCUCGAAGAAAUUCGAACUCUUUUGAUUUCUUCGAUCGUAGCAAUUCCGCACGACAUAGACCUAGUUUUAAAAUAAAUUCAUUUUUAUAUAAUUAUCGUCCAACAUUUAUUUCACAAUUCCUCCAUUUCCAACAUAUUAUUCCGAUUUUAUUAAUAGAUAAGUAACGUUCUCAGCAAAAUAGAGAAUGAAGCAGAUUAAUAAAUGUUUGACUAAAACAAAUGAUCUUUAAUUGAUCCGAUCAAUUUAUUCAACAAAUUAUAGCAAUACAGUGUACAUAUGUUACACAAU